GAAGCUGGGGAAGUACUUGGGAUGAGAUCUUCUGUAAGCCAGAAGUUUGUUCAGCUCACAGGACAGAGUGAUAUGGAGGUCAGGUCAGCAAUGCCAAAGCCAGCAGCGAAGCACAAGAAGGUGGUGCAUUUUAAAGCAACAAAUCAAAUAGUGUGUGAUUGCAAUGAGCUCAUUAUGUACUCUUUUCCUCAGAUAUUUUGGACAGCUGUGGAAUGGGACAAAUGUAUACUUGAGCAAGGAACAGUGUGAAGAGAGAAAGCUAUAUGGAAGGGUCAAUGAGGUCUCAUGGAAAUUAUUUGAUAUUUUUACUGAAGUUCUGGUGUGUAUGUGAUAAAAAAGUAUGAUAAAAAAGUAUAUAUAAAAAAGUACAGAAAGAACUAGGCAGCCGUGAGACUUCAUAAUCAGUCAUGCCCUGUCUGGGCUAAGUUUGAACAAUAACAAUGGGAUUGGGCAUUUAAAACAAAAUCUUAAUGGAUAUAGCAAACUUAGUUCAUGAACUAUAGGUCACUAUUUUAGGGAGCCACUAUAUAAAUUCACAUCAUUACUGACUCAUAUGCAUUCCUUGGUACGGAUUACUCAUGUUUCUGUUGAUGUAAUUGGGGGUGGUUUGCAAUUGAGACUGUUUGGCUGCUGUCAGCUAGGAUAGAGGUGCUUAUUAAUGUUCCUUUAAGGGUGAGUGGGUGUGUACACAUGUUUCAGAAACAUCUCAGUCUUGGAAUUGAAUUUGGUGCUACACAUUUAAAGCAUUUUGUAUUUAUUUGUUUCAGCUGGACUCUUUCCAGUAGUUUUCUCCUGCUUCUGUGAACAUCCAUCAAAAUUAGACAGUUCAAAACAAUAUAUUGUAAAAAGCAGCUGAAUUUGUUAGUCCAGCCCUCAAAAUUAUUGUAGCAUAGCAUGUAUUGUAUUCUUUUCCAGAGUGCUCACACUAACUGAUGGGCAUAUAAUCAGAUCCUGAGCACACAGAACCAUAAUCUAUAAUGCUGCUAGUGAAUAAUUUUAAGAUACUUUCAAGAUGAUUGAUAUCCUCCUUUGUUAUUGCUAAAUCACAUCACUGAAUGUAGCACAAGAAGAUUGUCAAAUAGGAUUUAUCCACAUCUGUAGCAAUUGCAGUGGCAAGGAUUCCAAACUGAAUAUUGAUCAGCUAUUACUUUCAUUAUCAGCUCUUUAAAGGGUUGCCUUGGUGUGGAGAAAAUGAUUCUGGAGUUGGAUAUUCAUCACUUUAGUGUCUGACCUAGUUUGGGGGCUUUUUUUGUGCUGUGUGCUUUUGAAAAGUCUACUGAUGCAUCCUGCAUUCACAUAGCAGGCAGGGUAAGCUGCAGGACUUGUCGGAGCCCCUUGCAGAAUAUGUUUCCACUCGCGUGAAAAUGUGGAUCACUCAGGGAUCAACAGAUGUAUGAGAUUUUUUUGAGUCCUAGGAGAGGGUGAGCUAUUAACUAUUAAAGCUCAUGGUAAGGAACAUGUUGUAUCCCAUAGCAAUCGGUACCAUAAUGAUUUUAUUAACAUUCUACAUUCAACAUAUUCAUUCAACAUAUCUAACAGCCACAUAUUUUAUUUGGCCUAAAUUUCCAUUUAUGGUCAUCAAAAGCUCAGAGGAAAUUAUAUGAAACUCAGAUGAAAUAUCCACAUUUGUGUUUCAAUACUAAAGUUAAAUGUAAAAACACAGGCAUGUAAAUAACUGCACUGACUUAUUCAAUCUCUGCUUGCAAAUAACACUGUAAUCUUGAAGGUCCUGGUUCAUGAUAAAAAUAUGCUUUAUUUCUGUAUUGCUUUACUUCAUACAAUAAAGCUGAUCUAGCCUGUUUAGUUAAAUAUUUUUUGUAUUAGUACUCAGGCUAAAUGUAACUUUUAUACUCAAUUUGAGCUUUUGAGAAAUAUACGAACUUUAGAAAUCAGUCAUGAAAGAGAAAGCCUGAAGUUAUUGGAUGACAUUUAGCUGCUUACUGUUGGAGAGAAUUACUAGAACAAUAAUCCAGUGUAUGCUGAUGGUGGGUUGAACU
rnacentral:lncRNA from 7 species